rnacentral:rRNA from 1 species
UGAAUACGAGACGCUAAGGCGUCGAAGUAGUGUAUGUCAUACUUCCAAGAAAAGCUUGCACUGUCAUAAGUAAAAAAUGCCUGUACCAUAACCGACACAGGUGGGUAGGUAGAGUAUACUAAGGGGCGCGAGAUAACUCUCUCUAAGGAACUCGGCAAAAUAACUCCGUAACUUCGGGAGAAGGAGUACCUUAUUCUAUAAGGUUGCAAUAACAAGAUCCAAGCAACUGUUUAUCAAAAACACAGGUCUCCGCUAAGUCGUAAGACGAUGUAUGGGGGCUGACGCCUGCCCAGUGCCAGAAGGUUAAAGAAGUCGGUUAGCAUUAGCGAAGCUGGUAACUGAAGCCCUGGUGAACGGCGGCCGUAACAAUAACGGUCCUAAGGUAGCGAAAUUCCUUGUCGGGUAAGUUCCGACCCGCACGAAAGGCGUAAUGAUUUGGAUACUGUCUCGGAGAGGGGCUCGGUGAAAUAGACUUGUCUGUGAAGAUGCGGACUACCUGCACCAGGACAGAAAGACCCUAUGAAGCUUUACUGUAACUUGAAAUUGAAAUUGGACUUUAUUCGCGCAGUAUAGGUGGGAGGUGUUGAUUAUAAUCUUGCGGGAUUAUUGGAGCCAUCAGUGAGAUACCACUCUUGUAAUGUUAGAUUUCUAACUUUGAAUCAUUAUCUGGUCAAAGGACAGUUUCAGGCGGGCAGUUUGACUGGGGCGGUCGCCUCCCAAACGGUAACGGAGGCGUACAAAGGUUUCCUCUGAACGGGUAGAAAUCGUAUCUAGAGUGUAAAGGCAUAAGGAAGCUUGACUGUGAGACCUACAAGUCGAACAGGGACGAAAGUCGGUCUUAGUGAUCUGACGGUACUGAGUGGAAAGGCCGUCACUCAACGGAUAAAAGUUACUCUAAGGAUAACAGGCUGAUCUCCCCCAAGAGUUCACAUCGACGGGGAGGUUUGGCACCUCGAUGUCGGCUCAUCGCAUCCUGGGGCGGUAGUACGUCCCAAGGGUUGGGCUGUUCGCCCAUGAAAGCGGUACGCGAGCUGGGUUCAGAACGUCGUGAGACAGUUCGGUCCAUAUCCGGUGUAGGCGUUAGAAUAUUGAGAGGAGCCUUCUUUAGUACGAGAGGACCGAGAAGGACAUACCUCUGGUGUACCAGUUAUCGUGCCAACGGUAAACGCUGGGUAGCUAUGUAUGGAGUGGAUAACCGCUGAAAGCAUCUAAGUGGGAAGCCCACCUCAAGAUAAGUAUUCUCC